AUGAAACUGUAUCUGUGAAAUAUAUUUCUCCUACAGCCCUUGUAUGUGAAUAUUAUGUUCCUGCGAUAGUUCUCUCUUACUUCCAUCAAUGUUUCUCUGAGGUUGAGCCGCUUCUCGAUGAGCUGCCCGUGCUCCUUGAGGAACGUGCAGAGGAACAGACUGAGGUUCUGGAUGAAGUUCUGCUCGUCGUCCUUCCCGUUGGCGUAGGCCAGUCGAAUGUUGGUGUUCAGAGGCAGCAUCUAAACAGAAGAUGGUUCAGAUUUAAAAUUCUACUCAGCAGCCAAGAUAGAGGGCGUGCAGAAUUGAGACUCUUUUAACUUGUAUCAACUUGUAAACAUGAAAAAUUUCCACAGGACAAAAGUAUUGAUUCCACAGUUUCUAACAUCUUGAGUUGUUACAGGAGUAUUCAAAACCUGAUAAGAAAACCGUGUGGCUCGGCCGCUGCUUGAGCCUCAACUGAAUGGACGAACAAACUUUAAAGCAAUGACCUAAUUAACGUCAAAGCCAUGCAGAAAGCUAUUUCUCUUAAAGCGACAGUAACAUGCUUACCUGUUUAAACAGAAACUUCAAUAUUGCUACCUUUAACAAAUAUUGUUCUUAAACCAUCAUUAAGUACUAAACAAGAUAUAAACUGCAAUUAUUUAAACUAAACUAAUUUGGAAAGGUGUCGUUUUAUUUCCUACCGACCUGUUUGAGCUGACACAUGGUCAGUGUGAAGAGUGUGACGAACUGCUCCUCGUACUGGCUGACGCUGACACCGGCGAUCUCCGUCAGGCACUUCAGCGUCACAUUGCGGAACAUGGGCACGUUCAAGAACUAAAAAACAGUUGGAACAAAUGUUGAAGAAGAUUUCGAAAAAUAUCUUUUGAAAAUAAUUUAUUCGUAUGCAGGAACAAUUUCUGCAAUUUAAUGAAAAUGUUAAAUGACAUUGUGUGUGUCCAAACCUUAUACACUAGUGUGCUGAUCAGUUUGGUUUCAAAGAUGUAGCCGAGGGGAAUCCAGUUGAGAAAGCGUAGGAGGGUCUCCAGAGUGGCGUGGACCAGGGGGGCAUUCUGGGAAUUUUCCUACGGUGCAAACAAUGAGAUGACAAACAGGUGAAUACUGGACUGUCACAGAAAAAUAAAACAUUGUACAACAUAUGUUAAAAAAGAAAGAGAGGAGGAUGUUCAUACCAUUACAAACUGGCAGAGCUGGAAUAUCUGGGAGAAUUCAUUGCACAUGCUGAAGGAGACAAAAGAGACACAUGAAAAAAAACAUCCUGCAAGAGACACAACACCUAUUUCAAGAUCCUCCUUAAAUUAAAAUGUUGAGCUUUAAAUUGACAUCUUCAUAAUAACGUUUAAUGUGAAACACCUACAGUAUUUCUUAUGAUCAAUUUACUUACUAGUUGAUUAUCUUAACAAUCACUUACAGUACAUUAGAUUUUCUGUGAAGAAUAAAGUCUCUGAUAGGGAGUCUUUAUUUUAUAAAAGUGUGAUAAAAAUUUUUUUUUAUCUCCAGGCAUUCCUACUGCUUUCAGAGGAACAUGAGGUCACCACUGACCACCAAAAUCUAAAUCAGUUCAUUAUCAGGUCCAGCUGAACGUUUGUGCCAAAAUUUGAAGAAAUUCUGUCAAGGUGUUCACAAGAACGGGACAGACAGCCUGAAAAUAUAACGCCUGUGGCCAAAGUAGUCACCAGUGAAGAGGCAUAUAACUUAGAUAUAUGCACCUUUUCCCCUCAGUCACAAGACUUCAACUGUAGUGAACAUCACUGGGAACAUCCGAUAAUAUGAAUGGAGCACAAGAGUCUGUCUGUGGGCAAACCUGGGCAGCAGGAUUAUGUAGUGAAACAUCAACAACCAUCAAUUGUGCUCGACAGGAAACCUUGGAUGUGCAGGAAAUGAAGCUUAUUCAUCUUUGACAUUGUGUCUCAGAGAGUAAAUAUCACGGUUUCCUCUGCUGUGCAGCCAAAGGAGCGUUUGCAUGUUGGGUUAAAUACAGUGCGUUGUAGCGUGCUGACCUGUCUUUUAGGUGCUUGGCCUUGACCUGGGUCAUCUGGCCACUGGAGAAGUCAAACACCUCCUCGCUGAGCAACUUCAGGAUGAUCAUGUUGUUCUGACAAAGGCUCUCACUGGUGCGACUCGCCCCCACAAUGUCACUGAUGAAGGUGGGCCAGUGUUUGGGCCACUCCUGCUUCAGGAUCUGCAGACACAUGUAUCAGUGUUACACAGAUUUUCUGCUGACAAAGAUAUGAGGUCUAAAAAUGAAAAAAAAAAUCUAAUCUGUGACUUCUGCUAAAAAUAACCAUCCUGUCUUUCAAUAGCAGGUCAAACACGUGCCACUGUUUAAGCUUUGCAGGAGCUUACGAUUGGAAUACAACAGAAAAAAACUGUCAUAAACAAGUGGGUUUAAGACUUUACAUUAAAAAAAAGCAGAAACCCACACUGGUACAAAUAUAUCAUUCAUACACACAAACAUUUUAAACACAGCCUUCUAAAGGGUGAGUGUGGAAUCUGGAGCCAAAACAACGUUCGUCGCGCUGACGCAAGCAGUGACUCACUCUCACUGGCAUUAAUGCCAAGUCACUCAUGAGGCCAGUGAGCCAAUAGCUCCCUCCCUCACUCACAUAAACAUUUAACACACACACACACACAUAUAUAUAUCGGACACACAUAUCGGACAGCGAAGGGCAGUGAACCGCUAAUUUCUGCAGCUGAGCGUUUACAAGCUUCAGCACUUUCCUGACACUAUUUGUUAUGUAAUAUGUUGUUGUGUACUUUAUAUUGCGCGUCACUGUUGAUAAACCACUUUGCCGGUUAACAACAGAGCACAAUGAUGGCCGUGCAUCAUAUCGAGAAAAAACAGACUUGAAUCGGAGUUUCCAGUGGAGAAGAAGAGAAAAACAAUGUAUUUACCAUUUGACAGCCUAAACGUUAAUGGAGUUUGAUCUAGACAUUGGGAAAAUCUCCGAUAAAGGAUUGUAUUUGCCGAGGUGAUGUUUCAAGCACAAGGCUCUUUCUCCGGUUCAAGGUCUAGAAAAUCAGCUGAAAUACUAAAACUAGUUUAAAAAUAAGUUUGUUGUGAAGAGAUUUUUUGACUGGUUAUUAUUAUUAUUAUUAUUUGAGACUUACCUGAACGAGGAUCAUGUUCAGCUUCCCGAUAUAAACCUUUUCUUUCUAAAAAAGUUCAAAUAAAGAAGAGAUGAAUGAA